ensembl:lncRNA
CUUGAAUUAAUUAUGAACAUGAUUAAGAAAGCUAAAAUCUCAGGAGCCAGUCUCUCAUUACCCAUUCACUCUUAGGGAUUGCUUUCAUUCAGGGAAGGAGAGGCGAAAAAGCCUUCCAGCAGAGCCCACUCCGGCUCAGCUCUUCUCCCUGUGUGCCUGUCCCCUUGUCUCUGCUGCCGGGCCAACUGACCAAGCCUCCGACAGACAGACCGGCCGGCCGGCCGCCAGCCCGCCCGCCGCCUGGACGGCUCUCUUGCACUCAUGCCUGUUAUGGUGAUGUGGCCAAGCUCAGCUAGCUGCUUCGUGGCCUCUGACGUUUGCAUGGAAAAGAGAGGAUGUGCUCAACCUUCCUGUUCUACACCUGAGUUCAAGCUCUGGGGUCUUGACCCUCUUAAAAAAAGAAACACUCGAGGGUUCAGACAGCCAGCAGACUGGAUUUAGUCCAGACCUGAGUCAGUCACGGUGCAGAUCUUUCUUUCUUCACUUGAGAUAACCAGACAGGACGACACAAUCUUCCGUGAUCCAGGAAGCAACCUCAAACCAUUAAAACAGACAGAAGUCUUUGGAACAAGUCAUGACCGUUCGCCUCCUGUUAUAUGCAGGGAACACAGCAACCUCUUCUGGACAAAAGUGAAAGUAGCAGACAGUGUAAAGAAGCCAGCAUAACCGAAAUGAGCCCUGGCAGCCACAACGAACACAGCCAAGAGCAUGGUAACCUUUUCACCCACAUACGUAAGAUUCUGAUUUGAAAACACAAAAUUGAAGCUUUUACUAAAAGAAAGAAUGGAUCUUUUAAACAGCGUGAGUAAAGAUAUUGCACAGACAAGUAUCAGACUCAAAUAUCACCAUCAAAGAAUGAUCAGAAAACAUUUAGCGCAUGACUUGAAAUAUUACCAACAUCGCCAAGAGAAACCAAACAACUUAAGGUUGGAUAAAUGACACGCUUACAUGAACGCUCUGACUGGGAUGUAAAAGAAUAAUUUUGUCGCCGCUAGAAAACAUAUGAAGAAAUGCCAGUUUUGAAAAAUGUCAUCUUUAAAAGGGAAAUCUAAAUGUCAGAGAGACAGAUACUUUACACAUAGAGAGCGCUGCCUUCUGGGCGUAACACAGAAAGGCGUGAGAAUAAUAUUUUUUUCCCAGUUGAAAUGAACUGCAAUUACCCGUCAUCAGGCACAGAAAGCAGCACGCUUCACAUCCACAGUCACAUCGCCUGGAGAGGAGCGUGGUCACUGUUUGCAACAUUAGUCAGGAAAUCUGAGGAGGAAAGCACAACAAAAGAAAGAAAUGUGUUUUUGUUAUGCCACAGGAAAAAAUAGAGACACUUUGUUCCAAUGUGCGAUAUGUUACUAAAAAAUAUAAUGAAUUAAUAUCAAAAACAGAGCAAUUGUUCAAGUACUAACAGAAAAUUAAUCUGCCAGCAUUUUGAACAAAAA